GACGAACGCUGGCGGCGUGCUUAACACAUGCAAGUCGAACGGAAAGGCCCUGCUUUUGUGGGGUGCUCGAGUGGCGAACGGGUGAGUAACACGUGAGUAACCUGCCCUUGACUUUGGGAUAACUUCAGGAAACUGGGGCUAAUACCGGAUAGGAGCUCCUGCUGCAUGGUGGGGGUUGGAAAGUUUCGGCGGUUGGGGAUGGACUCGCGGCUUAUCAGCUUGUUGGUGGGGUAGUGGCUUACCAAGGCUUUGACGGGUAGCCGGCCUGAGAGGGUGACCGGCCACAUUGGGACUGAGAUACGGCCCAGACUCCUACGGGAGGCAGCAGUGGAGAAUAUUGCACAAUGGGCGGAAGCCUGAUGCAGCAACGCCGCGUGCGGGAUGAAGGCCUUCGGGUUGUAAACCGCUUUCGCCUGUGACGAAGCGUGAGUGACGGUAAUGGGUAAAGAAGCACCGGCUAACUACGUG
rnacentral:rRNA from 1 species